rnacentral:ncRNA from 1 species
AUCAGCAUUCGUAUAAGCCUGCGAAUACGGCGCAGGAGUAUCUACGGGACAACCGGAAAUUGUCGUACGCUAUGAAUGUGUUUUUU